rnacentral:rRNA from 1 species
GGUGACAGCCCCGUACACAAAAAUGCACAUGCUGUGAGCUCGAUGAGUAGGGCGGGACACGUGGUAUCCUGUCUGAAUAUGGGGGGACCAUCCUCCAAGGCUAAAUACUCCUGACUGACCGAUAGUGAACCAGUACCGUGAGGGAAAGGCGAAAAGAACCCCGGCGAGGGGAGUGAAAAAGAACCUGAAACCGUGUACGUACAAGCAGUGGGAGCACGCUUAGGCGUGUGACUGCGUACCUUUUGUAUAAUGGGUCAGCGACUUAUAUUCUGUAGCAAGGUUAACCGAAUAGGGGAGCCGAAGGGAAACCGAGUCUUAACUGGGCGUUAAGUUGCAGGGUAUAGACCCGAAACCCGGUGAUCUAGCCAUGGGCAGGUUGAAGGUUGGGUAACACUAACUGGAGGACCGAACCGACUAAUGUUGAAAAAUUAGCGGAUGACUUGUGGCUGGGGGUGAAAGGCCAAUCAAACCGGGAGAUAGCUGGUUCUCCCCGAAAGCUAUUUAGGUAGCGCCUCGUGAAUUCAUCUCCGGGGGUAGAGCACUGUUUCGGCAAGGGGGUCAUCCCGACUUACCAACCCGAUGCAAACUGCGAAUACCGGAGAAUGUUAUCACGGGAGACACACGGCGGGUGCUAACGUCCGUCGUGAAGAGGGAAACAACCCAGACCGCCAGCUAAGGUCCCAAAGUCAUGGUUAAGUGGGAAACGAUGUGGGAAGGCCCAGACAGCCAGGAUGUUGGCUUAGAAGCAGCCAUCAUUUAAAGAAAGCGUAAUAGCUCACUGGUCGAGUCGGCCUGCGCGGAAGAUGUAACGGGGCUAAACCAUGCACCGAAGCUGCGGCAGCGACGCUGAUGCGUUGUUGGGUAGGGGAGCGUUCUGUAAGCCUGUGAAGGUGUGCUGUGAGGCAUGCUGGAGGUAUCAGAAGUGCGAAUGCUGACAUAAGUAACGAUAAAGCGGGUGAAAAGCCCGCUCGCCGGAAGACCAAGGGUUCCUGUCCAACGUUAAUCGGGGCAGGGUGAGUCGACCCCUAAGGCGAGGCCGAAAGGCGUAGUCGAUGGGAAACAGGUUAAUAUUCCUGUACUUGGUGUUACUGCGAAGGGGGGACGGAGAAGGCUAUGUUGGCCGGGCGACGGUUGUCCCGGUUUAAGCGUGUAGGCUGGUUUUCCAGGCAAAUCCGGAAAAUCAAGGCUGAGGCGUGAUGACGAGGCACUACGGUGCUGAAGCAACAAAUGCCCUGCUUCCAGGAAAAGCCUCUAAGCAUCAGGUAACAUCAAAUCGUACCCCAAACCGACACAGGUGGUCAGGUAGAGAAUACCAAGGCGCUUGAGAGAACUCGGGUGAAGGAACUAGGCAAAAUGGUGCCGUAACUUCGGGAGAAGGCACGCUGAUAUGUAGGUGAAGCGACUUGCUC